UUCAAUAUAUCAAUUUCUUUAAUUCCCUCAACCUUUUAUACAACCUUACUGUCGAUGAUUUUUCAGACAUGAAAAAACUCAAGGAUUUAGCUCCUUAAAUAGUUUCCAUGCAUCUGAUUACAUAUUUAGACCCGGAAACAUCUUGGACAAGAGCUCGACAGAAAUGGAACCUUGAAUAGGCGACAAAUCAGAGCGAUAAAAAACGACCCAAAAACCUUACUCUGUUUUCUUGUAUUAUGUCUGUGACCUUCCUUACUUUGUUUCAACCGCAAAAAAAAACGUGAUUCCUUCUCCCAUCAAAUCCCUCUGUUUCGUCCCUCUCUCAAUUCCUGAUGUUCUUUCUAGCUUCUGUUGCUUCUUUCAGCAAAUAGUUCUUCAAGUCAGUUAACUUACCCAUUUCCAAUGGCUUCUGAGGAAGAUGACUAAGGGGGGUGGCCGUUUGGAGAAGAUGAAGCCAGGGAAGGAAGGGGAGUUGUGUCAAAAGCUGCGCAACUGUGCUAAAAAAAUUUCCAACCGUCUCUAUUGUUC
rnacentral:lncRNA from 1 species